rnacentral:rRNA from 1 species
GAUGAACGCUGGCGGCGUGCUUAACACAUGCAAGUCGAACGGAAAGGCCCGGCGUUUGUGGGGUGCUCGAGUGGCGAACGGGUGAGUAACACGUGAGGAAACUGCACUUAACUGUGGGAGAACUUUAGGAAACUGGGGCGAAUACAGGAGAGGAGCUCCUGCUGCGUGGUGGGCGAUGGAAAGUUACGGCGGUUGGGGAUGUACUGGGGGGGUAUCAGCUAGUUGGGAAGGUAGCGGCUUACAAAGGCUUUGACGGGUAGCCGACCUGAGAGGGUGAUCGGCCACACUGGAACUGGGACACGGUCCAGACGCCUACGGGAGGCAGCAGUAGGGAAUCUUCCGCAAUGGGCGAAAGCCUGACGGAGCAACGCCGCGUGAGUGAUGAAGGUCUUCGGAUCGUAAAACUCUGUUAUUAGGGAAGAACAAAUGUGUAAGUAACUAUGCACGUCUUGACGGUACCUAAUCAGAAAGCCACGGCUAACUACGUG